ensembl:lncRNA
AUGUGAAGGGUGGGACCUUAGGACCUGGGAGCCUCAGCAUAGAGCGGGAGGCUUAAACUCAAGGAGAGCCUCUCCAUAUAAAGGAGAUCCCGUGAGAGUUGAGCAACUCACGUUUGUUCUCGUUGUCCGGCAUGUGCUGAAGUCUGGGUGCUUUGUUUGUUGCUCGCCAGUACCGUGCGGGUGAGCAAACCGUACUAAGGAGAAGGUCAGACCUGAACCAGACCUGGUGAGCCCAGGGUCCUACCUGCUGGUGCACAGGUGCAUUGGGCCAAGGAGGUAGGAAGUUGGGCUUGCAAGCACAUUAUGCGUUUUGUAGUGAGAAGGAUGAUGGGUACUUGGUGAUUAAUGGCUGUUUUGUGCAUUUCAGGCUGAACUGGUGACACGCAGUGGUCAGCAUGACAGCCACUGCUCUUUUUCUCAGACCAUAGUUUUAGUUUAGAUUAUGCUCAAGUGCCUCCAUCUUGCUCCCUCUAUUCAUAGAAAUAACACACUGAUAUUGUGCCCUUUUGAUGACCGUUGCUUCCCCCUUCCCCACUUCUAUUGUGUUGUGUCUUUUAACUAGGAUCAGUAAUCGUAUUUGAGUGUGUUGGUUUGUAGUGUUACUUAUUUUAGGCUUUCUUAACAGUGUGCAGUGUUUUUAUUGUUGGAAGUGUCAUUGUGCCCCCGGUCAAUCACUACUGGUAUAAAUUAUUUGGAUGUGGUUUUAUAAAGUUAUUGUUUAAAUAAAAGUGAUAUUGCAUUGUACACGCAGAAGCCUCUGUCCGUCUAUGAUCUACCUCGUAUGGGGUUUUGGCCAAUAAGAUAAUUGAAUUCAGGGUCUCUCCCCUCCAAAGAGAGUGGCGUUGUCACGUCUGGAUACUAUUCCCAAAGUAUUUUAAGUGUCCAUUAGGUCACAA